rnacentral:rRNA from 1 species
UGGAUCCAGACUUUGAUUCUGGCUCAGGACGAACGCUGGCGGCGCGCCUAACACAUGCAAGUCGAACGGAGAUUACAGGCGGAAGUUUUCGGAUGGAAGCUUGUAAACUUAGUGGCGGACGGGUGAGUAACACGUGAGCAACCUGCCUAUCAGAGGGGGAUAACGAUUGGAAACGAUCGCUAAUACCGCAUGACAUAGCGGAACCGCAUGGUUCUGUUAUCAAAGAUUUUAUCGCUGAUAGAUGGGCUCGCGUCCGAUUAGAUAGUUGGUGGGGUAACGGCCUACCAAGUCGACGAUCGGUAGCCGGACUGAGAGGUCGAACGGCCACAUUGGGACUGAGACACGGCCCAGACUCCUACGGGAGGCAGCAGUGGGGGAUAUUGCACAAUGGGGGAAACCCUGAUGCAGCGACGCCGCGUGAGGGAAGACGGUCCUCUGGAUUGUAAACCUCUGUCUUCGGGGACGAAACGAGACGGUACCCGAGGAGGAAGCCACGGCUAACUACGUGCCAGCAGCCGCGGUAAUACGUAGGUGGCAAGCGUUGUCCGGAAUUACUGGGUGUAAAGGGAGCGUAGGCGGGCGGGCAAGUCAGGCGUGAAAUAUAUCGGCUCAACCGGUAACGGCGCUUGAAACUGCAGGUCUUGAGUGAAGUAGAGGUUGGCGGAAUUCCUAGUGUAGCGGUGAAAUGCGUAGAUAUUAGGAGGAACACCAGUGGCGAAGGCGGCCAACUGGGCUUUCACUGACGCUGAGGCUCGAAAGUGUGGGGAGCAAACAGGAUUAGAUACCCUGGUAGUCCACACCGUAAACGAUGAUUACUAGGUGUGGGGGGACUGACCCCUUCCGUGCCGGAGUUAACACAAUAAGUAAUCCACCUGGGGAGUACGGCCGCAAGGUUGCAACUCAAAUGAAUUGACGGA